GCUAAUUACAUAUAGACAUAAGUGUUGAAUUGAAACACACAUUUCUUGAAUGAAAUGACGUACAUAAACUGGCAAAUGUAUACACAUCCAGUUAAAAAAAAGUAAUUAAAUUGAAUUAAAUCUUAUACAGAAUUUUUAUAAAAAUGGCCAUAGUGUCUACUCCUAAAAAGAUAUUUAAAUUUCUUACUCGUUUUAUUCUAUAAUUCGAAUCGUAUACAGACCUCUUGACAAUUUUCGAUUUUUGAUUUUUUAUGUUAUCCACAUAAAUAUAUUUACAUGAUAUAAGUGCCAAUCGUAAAAUGGUCUUCUGCUUUAUAUUGUUUAUGUAAAAGAAAUUAACAGGUUACUGUGUUAUACAUAAUUAACAAACUGCUUCGGGGAGUAUAUAGUUUUUUAAACGAAUACACAGUUUAACAUAUAUUCUAUCUGGUGUCCAUUAAACUAUUCUUAUUCGAAUCCUGUUAAAACACUGCCUUUUGUUUGGUACAAAUCGUUAUAUUCAUAAAUGCGACACAAAUAUGACCAUGGUGAAUUCAUUUAUUUACGUCGGUAUUAUUUUUUGUGGAUAGAAGAAAAAAAGAGAUUUCUCCGAAUACCCGAACUCGUGUGUUUUCAUUUGUUUAAAAAAAAAUAAAAAAAAUAUAGAAAUUCAAUGAAAAUGUCUGGCAUUGUCAAAAUACUUGCUUCUUCAUUCAAGUCAAAUUGUUUAUUUUAAAUUCGAUUUUACAGGCUUUAACAGAGGCAACUUAUUAUUUAUUUGUUUUCAAAUUACAUUUGCUUUUGUCGCAAUUUUCCUGACAAUCAAAGCCACAUUUAACAAAAAGUAAAAAAAAAAUGAAACUCAGAGCGUCUGAUAUUUGAAAAAAAAGUAAAAUCACAAAAAUAUUGAACUCAGAGGAAAUCCAAUCGGAAAGUCCAUAAUCACAUGUCAAAAUCAAAUGACAAAACACAUCAAAAAAGGAAUGGACAAGAACUGUCAUAUUCCUGACUUGGUACAGGCAUUUUCAAAUGUAAAAAAUGGUGGAUUAAACCUGGUUUUAAAGCGCUAAACCUCUCACUUUGAUGACGGUCUCAUCACAUUCCGUUAUAUUUACGAUGAUAUAACUAAAAUAUAACUAAACAGACAUAACAAAUAAAAUAGUCAAAAUAUGAGUACAGCAGUCAUCAUCGUGUAAAAUUUUCAAAAGGAACGAUUUAACAGAACUCAAAAAACAUCUAUCUACAAAUACAUGACGCCUUUGCUGGAAAUCAAGCCGUAAAACCUGCUGACAAUGAAUAUCUAAAUUAUUUUGCAUAUCUGCAUAAGCGUUAAAAGUGUAUCAGUUAAGCAUAAUCAUGCCAAAAAGUAUCAAAAAUAUGGACACAAAGUAGGUAUUCUCACAAAUAAAUGUUAAUUUAUCACAUUAAUAGGUGGUAGUAAUUUACUAUGUUUAAAAUUGAAUAAAUCGAUGAAAAUACAAAUCAAUGCGACAAAUACAAUAUUUAGUAAUGUCAGUACCAAAGUAAUGGCUACUGAGCUGAGGACAGCUUCUAUAAUGUAUUUUCAAUUUGCCUUUGUAUCUAUGCGUAUAUGAAAAUGUUUUGAACUUAUAUCUAGUAGUUAGUUGUCAGUACUUUACAGCAUUUAUAAUUUGGUUAAACGUAUAUUUAUAAAAACUAACAAACCUGGUAUGCUUAAAACCAAUAAAUUUGCUUUUUUGUUGAUUUAGUUGGCAGCUUUUUGAUGAAAGUUACUGCGUCUCUGUGAUAUAUCAUCCAAAGUAAGUAUAAAGGUUAAGUGUUAUUUAUUUUUUAUUUAAAGCAUUUAAAUGGAAUGCAUUUCACAAUUUUAUGCGUGACGAGAUAUUCGUAUAGUCUUUAAAUCAUUAUUGUUCGCGGUAUUUAGUUCCUUGAAUUACUGGUGAUUUGAUAUGGAAAACAUUCUAGGAAGUCUAUUUAUAGAUUAUAUUAAUUUCAAAAUAGAUAGGAAACACCCUUUUCAACAUAAUGAGUUGCCAUUUUAUCAAUUAAUGUAAACAAAAAAAACAUGAUUUUUAAUUUUAGUUUCUUGUGUAUAAUUCGGAGUUUAGUAUGACGUCAAUUAUCACUGUACUAGUAUACAUAUUUUUUAGGGGCCAGCUGAAGGACACCUACGGGUGCGGGAAUUCUUGCUACAUUGAAGACCAAUUGGUGGCCUUCGGCUGUUGUCUGCUUUAUGGUCGGGUUGUUGUCGCUUUGACACAUUGCCCAUUUCCUUUCUCAAUUUUAUGGAAAUAUUGAUGCGUGACAAGGUUUUUUAUACUUCUAUUAUAUUAUCAUGAAUUGCAC
rnacentral:lncRNA from 1 species